UGAUCAUUUCUGUUUACAGGAAAGCACAAUGCUUGUUAGGAGCGAACCGAACUGCUUUGGACUCCGAAGGUGCUGGGAAAAUAGUGCAGUAGUUGCCAGCAAAAUGUACUCUGAAGCCGGAAGGAAAAGAAAACUAAGACCACCCCAGAUGGGACUCGAACCCACAAUCCCUGGCUUAGGAGGCCAAUGCCUUAUCCAUUAGGCCACUGGGGCUUCGCGGUAUUUCUUUCCAGCCAAUGUUAUACUUGUAGGUUAACGUCACGCGCUUUUGUCAUCUAACCCAACCCCUUUCAAGUGUUUUAUCCGCUAGGUUACUCCACUAAUGCUGUGACGUUUCUUUAAGCGGAAGUCACGUCACGAUCGCGUAGGCCAAUCACGGCACACUCACCGCUCCUUACGCAAACAAGAAGCGCCUGCAUUGGACGCCAUGCUGUGUUUUGGAAGGAGGCGGGCUUCGCGGUUCUCCGGCUCUGAAACAGGCAUAGGCAAACUGUGGCCCUUAAGCGGCUUAAGCGGCUGAGGGGGGGAAAGGAAAGGGCCUGAGGCUGUUAGGAAUGGUGGAAGUUGAAGCCCAAAACACCUGGAAGGAGGGCCACAGUUUGCCCAUGCCUAAACUAAUAGUUUGAGAAGCCAUUGAAAUCCACAAGCCUGUGGACAAUUUCAACAGAAACCAUGAAAAUGAACAAAAUCUGGCUACCAGUAUUAAAACACUCUAAAAUCAGGACAGUAAAUAAGGAACGAUACUCAAAAAAUGGGAAAUCCAGACAGGAAACAAUCAGGGCCAGCUAAUACCUCCUAACAAAGAAUUCCCCCCAGGCAGGAAUUGGCCAGGUCUUGAAGCUGUGAGGCUUUUCAAUGCUAAUCAAGGUGAUUAAUUGCAACAUUCAGACUUGCCUCCAACAGACAAAGAGUUCUUUCUCCCACCCUGGACCUUCCACAGAUAUAUAAACCUCCCUUGCUUAGUUUCCAGUAUACCUCACAACCUCUGAGGCUGCCAGAUGUGGACUCAACGCCAGGAGAGAAUGCUUCUGGAACAUGGCCAUAUAGCCCAGAAAACUCACAGCUACCUCUUUGAAAACAUUUUGAAAAAUGAACUUUCCCCAGCCCUGCUUUAAAGAUGGCAAGUAAUGUGUGUGUGUAUAUAUAUCUCCUUUAUAUUGUGUCUUGUGUGAAGAGAUAAAUUUAGCUCCCUACUCUUAAUAUUUUUAAAGACCCUAACGUGUAAAGUAUUAUUCAUGUCUUUGACUAUUCUACACAUCCUUGACAAAUGGUACUCAUCUUUUUGAAACUGAUCCACCCUUAAAUUCAGUCACCUAAAUAGGAUAUCGUUUUGUGAUGCUACAGGUUUCAUUUUUGUUGUAUUCUAGAUCAGCAUAAUUUGUAACCCCCAUUCAGCUAUUUCUUACAUUGGUCUUUUAAUCUCUGCUUAGAUUUGUUUGGAACCUAGCGAAUUCAAUAAAGUGUAUGUGUGUGUGUGUGUGGGGGGGGGGGGUAGUAUCAUUUUUUAAAUUAAGUACACAAAUGCAUUGGUUUAUAUGUACAUUCCUCUUUAUUUAAUACAACACAGACACAUGACAUAUACAAAAUAAAAACACUCAUAAAAGCCCUGUCAUGCUUUUGGACAGGUACAUUUACACUUAGUUGAACAAGGCUCCCACUUUUGACCUGCUAGAUAUCUACAGAUGGAUUUUCAAAGGAAGUCUGUUGCCCCCCAAAACACAACUCUCUUCCAGAUCUGUCAAGCAAGGAGUUUUGGAAACAAUUUCAUGUUAUUUAUUCUUAAAGUCCAAACUGUGAUAGGAAUCUUAGAAGGUAAAGUAUCUGCAUCCCAGUGAAACUGUAUUUUUAAAAAAAUCACCUGAAUAUACGUUUAGACCUGGUGCAGGCUUUUUGUGGCAGCAACUUUCCCUUUUCUGCGCAUCCAGUUUUAUAUGGAAAGUUAGCAGGCACCAGUUCUUGUGGUUAGGAGCCUCACAAACUCUAAAAAGAAAUACAAAAAGAAGGGCGACAGGGAUAUUUACAAAAUUCAUGGCUGGUACAGUACAUCAUUUAAGACACACUAUGCUACAAUCUUUCAGGUCCUGAGAUUAUUACAAAAACGUUAAUUAAAAUAUUGUGUUCAGAUUCUGUUUGAGAGAGGAAGAGAUCAUAUCCUUUCUUUAAAAUCUAGUAUCCCUUCAUAUCAGUAGAACACAUCUCCCUAAAAAUGAAAAGAAGUUGGCACCAGUCACUAAGUAGCUCUGUGCUUGACUAUUUGGGCCCCUUUCAUUAGGAGAAGUCAUCUGAGUUUGUUAAAUGGAACAUAACUCAAAUUGAAGAUCUGUUAGGAGAGAACUCUUCCACACCUGAAGCCAUAUAUUGGCUGACACCAGGUUUUAGAAAUACUUGGGUAUCAAUAAGAAAGGUAUCAAGCUAAAUAUAGAAGAAAAUUAGUGCUUCAGAUGUGUUUGUCAGAGAGCACUACUCGCACUACGGAGAGACAUAAAAAAAUCUCUUCAGUUUUCAUGUUUCAAUUCUGUGCAGCUAACCUUGUAGGAAUUUCCUUGAUCUUUCUGUUGAAUAUUAAGUAAGGAGAUAGCAACUAUGAAUACUGUAUUCAGAAUGAUGACUUAUAUUACAAGUAAGAAAAGGGAGCUUUAAAAACAUGAAAGUUCUACUGUUGACAAAAUUCCUUAGGACAAAUAUCUUAUUGUGUUCUGAAUUUUUUUUAAAAAAACUUCAAUACUCCUCACUCUAACCACACAAUUGCCCAACUAUAGCAAGCGUCUAUUCUCUAUAUUAUAAAAUAUUAACAUUUAAUAUUUUAAUCAUGGCAUGUAUCAAGUACCAAAUGUGGUUAAAAAGAAGAGAUAUUGAUAACGCUAACAAUACUUACUGCACAGCAGUUUGAGGAGGUGAAGAUUAAGCUUAUGUCAAGAUAAAUGUAAUUAUUUCUUUGCUACUUAGAAGUCCAAGUACUUUAAAACAAUUUAUACUUCUAUCCCCGACACAGAGAACAUAUGCAAAAAAUACAGUUGUCAUAUCAGUCUUCUAGAUUUUCCAAUUCACAAAAGGUCCAACACCAAAGUGCAAGAUGAGAUAGAAAGAUGUGUUGAUACCAACUUGGCUUACAUUUAAAGAAGGUUCUACUUGGAGAGAAAUCAAUGUGUCUUAUCCUUGCAUAAGUAAAGGUAUGCAUUCUCUUUCAGAUUUAGUAAUUUAAAUCAGGUGAUGGUAAUAGCCCAAUAUUUAAUUGAUUAUGAGAACCAAGGCAUAACACCUUCAGAUUUUAAGAAUCCUUCUUAGAGCCAUAAAGUCUUUCAGGAUAAUAACGUGGAACUAGUUAACAUGUUUCUGCUUUUAAUGUAGUUUUAUCUAGAGUUUGAUUUCCAUGUUACAAAAAUAUUUCUAUAGUGUACACACUUCAAAAGUGAUAACAUGUUUCUUUGGGUAGAUGUUAUAUUAGCAAGGGAAAAUAUACAUUGUACUGAAUGUGAAGUCUGGCUAUAUGCAUAGUUUAUUUUGCUACAAAAUUAAACUAAGGCAUUACAGAGAAGGAAAGCAAUGAGAAUACAACUCCCCCUAAUGCUGAACACUAGUUGCUUAUGAGCUUUGCAUGCUAGUCCCCAUACCACACCAUUUAUACAUUUCCUAAUUUCACCCAGCUGAUUUUUAUGUUGGGAAAGAACACAUCCACUUAUUUUUUUUCCUGUUAAACAUCAGCACACAAAACAAAAGUCUUGGUACUGAGUAAAGUGACCAAAUACAACAACACUUUGUAUACUGUGUCAGUAGCAACUGAUUAACAGAGUAAAAUGACAAUGGAAAGUGUCUGAGGUGCUAUUUUACAUGGAACAAAGACAUUCUCUGUUCUACAAAGAGUGCUUUCAUUAUGUCAAAUCUGUUGUAAGAUGAACCUAGAAAGCUCUGAUUUGCUGCUACAGCAAAAGAACAUAAUUCAGCCAGGGGAAACAACAGUCUUAGCAAAGGUGUGCAAAACAACAGGGUACAGGCACUCCAGAUUAGCCAUUUAAAAGAUAUGGAGGCCUUUUUAAGCCUGAAGUUGGCUUAAAAUGCUUAUUCGAGAUCAAAGAGCAGUCUUUAAAUUUUUAAUUGUUCCGGGCACAAUCAUCAGGGUUGCACAGGUGGUAAUUUUUUGCAUGAAAAUAUUUUAAAUAUGGGAGAACUUAGUGUGUGUGGCUGCUGAAAUCUGAAAGAUGUAAAAAUAGUCCACAAAACCUCUGAACUUUGUUUAAACAUAUGGUUGGAUCCUUAUUUUGGCGUCUGCUUCAGAACUGGUGGAAACAAACUUCUGCUCAUAAAAGACCCCUCCUCCUUUAGGUUUGUCUCUGAAACUUUUCAUGCCACAGCCUACCACAUUCAACACAGUCAUUUUAUCUGUUUCUGUGGGGGCUCUCAUGGGUGGAUAGAACAUGAAAGUUUGUUUCUGCCAAUCCCACUGCAUGCUCUAAUCUGGAUAAAAGCCACAGAUUUUGGAUUUUCUAAAACAGGUUGUUCCAGCUGGUUCAUUUGCUAAGUUUCCACAACCGUAACUUUCCUCAAUUACCAAAUAUUUAUAGGAGCUACAAAGGAAAAAAAUGGAGCAACAGUGUCCCGAGAAGUAGAUACACAAGAUAGGCAAUAGUAUUAUGAACUAUUCUACUGAUUCCAUUUCACAAUGUUUUCCUGUCUCUUCUACCCACAGGAAAUGGGGCAUUUGCUAAUCUCUUUCAAUGGAUGAAGCUGUGUUUAAAGCAAAAGGAAUGCUUGUUCUUUGACAUUAAUACACUUCAGUGUUAAGUCAUGCUUAUGGUUUUCAACUAAACACUGCAAGACAAGUAAUUUCUUCUCUACUAAUAUAAAUGCAGUUAUACUUAAUGAGGGACAAACAAUCUUGGAUGGAAAUAAAGCAGUUCCCUUGCUUAUUUGUAUUGGAAUUAAUAAAAUGUUAACUGGCUUCAUACACAUCUCUCCCAGGUAUGUUGGGCCAUAUUUUCCUGAACAGAUGGUUGUUUAAGAUACAGCAGUAUUCAGUGGGCCUAGCCAUCUGUUCAGAGUUGAUUUCAAGCAGAAUGUAACCUAGCUUUGUUUUCAAAAUAGAAUAGAAACCUUUUAAAUAGCCUAUACCAUUAGAAAGAAUCCAUAUGAGUGUAACACAAGUAUUUAACAUCUUUAAAAUGACUGGGUUACUUAUUCUGCUUGGAGGCUGGGUACUUUAUCUCACAGUUCAUUAAUUUACAGUAGUAGGUGUGUAAAAAUCUUGAAAUUAAAUGAUUUCUCUUUUUUAGUAUGAAACUGUUUUGCUAAUUUUUAGUUCAACAACUUUGCCAAAGUAUAACAAGAUUUUUCAGUGACUAAUGCCGAUACAAAUUUUACCAUGUGUAUCUGAGCAAUGGAAGGAAGAACUCACUGCGUUUGGUGAAUGAACAAUUAAAACUUUCAUUUGUUUAAAAGAUUUAGUCAUUGUUAAGGUUACUGUCAUCAGAGAGCUACUUAGUGAUCUAAAGUAGGUAUUCUAGGCAGAGAUAGCGAUAUACAAAAAGUUGUUUUUCGAAUGCAAACUAUCAUUUGGUAAUUUGCUCGUCUGAUGUUAAUUCUGCCGAUUUUCAUACAAAUUUUCUCUAAUCUUGGGAAAUUUUAUUCCACAUUACAUUAUCUUUUAUAAGGAAUAUGCCAAUAUCCACUAGCACCAUUUUAUAAAUUUACACCCUGAAAUUCCAGUGGAAAUGGCUCUGUUGGUUUCUUGCUAAACACUUCCUUAGAGUUGCUCUGAAACACCAAGUUACUAUACCCCAUGUCAAAGCUCACCUUCACAAGUAAACAUAAAUGCUAUAGGAAACAUAUGGAACAUCAGGGCUCUUGAGAAUACUGCUGAACUUGAAAGCAAACAAUGAAAAAUGAACGUACAGCAGCUAUAACAUUACACAUAUUCAACACUAAUUACAGAGGGGAAAGUCAUUUUAACAGCAUAAAGUCAUAUUGGCAAGUUCAAGGUUCUUUCAAAUAUCUCCUAGCACUUUAGGACCUCUGAGUAUAUUCUGUGGGGAAACAAGGGAACAAAAAGAAAAGGCACUUAACCAAAGGACAAAGGCCUGAAUCAAGUAAGUUAGAGGGGUAAUACCAUCCAGGUUUGGAAUCAAAUUAUCUAAAACAAUUUAAACAUUGCCAUAAAAUUAUAAUUGCAUAAAACAUUGGCUGACCAUUUUUUACCUAUUCUAUUUACCUCUGUGUUAGCUUUUAGAAAACAUAAAAAAGCAACUCUACAGUGACCUCCAACACAGGAAGAAACUGGAGUGAAAACUUUUCAAAGCUUAGCUUGACUGCAGAUUUUACUUUCUUCCUGCAAUACUUUAAUAAAGAGAUGAAUAACGAUAUCUUUUGCCAAUGCACUCCAAAAAAACAUGAUAUCUUAUCUUCCUGUGGGAAAACAACUAUAAAAUCAAUCUGUAAACUAGCUUUAAAUUUACUUAUAAAUAUAGCCAAAAGUUAUUUUCAUGAAUGUAGCAGCAAACAUGAUAAAACAGGAGUCCUAAGAAAGUAAUCCAGCAGGUGGUUAUGGUUCAGUAUGACUGAUGGUAGCUUGGGAGUUGCAGAAUGUUUACUUUCAAUUGCUUUGGAUCAAUUUGAGAGGCAAUGUGGAAGCUGAAGGAGUCAGAUCAGAACAGAAGGGAGGAUAUGUUGAUUGCCUGCUCCAUUCACAGCCUAUAGGAUACAGUAAAAGCCACAUCUAAUUUCAUAGAAACAGGUGUCAAACCCACAGCACUUCACCUAGGAUUUUGACUAGAUACUCUCAUCACUCUUCUUGGAGAGAAGACACUAUAAAAAGGCUGAGAAAAAUGGAAUGAUUUAAAGCCAUCAACUAUUAUCUUCAGGUAGAGAAGAGCAACAUUUUGCUAAGACAUCUGACGUUUUGCAUCAUGUAGUUCACGGUUUAGAUCCUUUCUCCACAUAUCCUACUGUGACUCCAUAGCAAUGUACACACAUAACAGAAGGCAUAAUUUAAAAUAUAAGAAGUUGUAAAACCACUAUUUGAAAAUUAUUGCUUGUAUUUGAGGCUCAGAACUAGCUUGCCCUUUCAUCUCAAAGUCCUCCAAAUCAGCUCAGCUGCCCAGAAUGACAGCAUUGAUUCUUAUUGCUUAUGAAUACUGAGGGUUGGCUGAGGGAUACCCACAAAAACAUUUUAAAAUAAAAAUGGCUUAAAGACACAUUUAAAAAAUUCAUUGGAAUGCUAAUACUGUCUCUAGUAUAUCUUCAUCUCUUCAUCUAUUUUGACAAGCUCAUGAGUCUAUAAUCUUUUUUAAAGUAUUGAAAAUCAUGUUCAUUCUUGGUCUAAAUUUCUUAUUCUAAUGAGUAAUUAGAGAACAAUUAGCAUUCAUUGCUGCUUCACUGGUUCUACAAUGUCACCAGACAUUUCUAGGUGGCCAAUUGUAAACAUUGGUCUGAUUUCUCGUAUGUUCAGUUUAUUCUGCUUUGGAUUAAAAAAAACCUCUUGAAUUGUCA